GAUGAAGAACGUAGCGAAAUGCGAUAAGUAAUGUGAAUUGCAGAAUUCAGUGAAUCAUCGAAUCUUUGAACGCACCUUGCGCCCUUUGGCCAUUCCGAAGGGCAUGCCUGUUUGAGUAUCAUGAACACCUCAACUCUUUAUGGUUUUCCAUGAUGAGCUUGGACUCUGGGGGUUUUGCUGGCUCACAGUCGGCUCCUCUAAAAUGAAUCAGCUUACCAGUGUUUGGAGGGUAUCAUGGGUGUGAUAACUAUCUACGCUUGUGGUUUUUCCACCAGGUAACCUUCAGCAGUGGAGGUUCGCUGGAGCUCAUAGAUGUCUCUCCUCAGUGAGGACAGCCCUUUGAAUGUUUGAUCUCAAAUCAGGUAGGACUACCCGCUGAACUUAAGCAUAUCAAUAAGCGGAGGA
rnacentral:misc_RNA from 1 species